rnacentral:sRNA from 1 species
CAUUUUCAGUAAAGAAGUCCUGAGUAAACACGUUGUCGUUGAAUACCGCUUCUCUGCCGAACCUUAUAUUAGUGCCUCAUGCAGUCAUGUGUCAGUUUUAUCUAUGUAAGUGCCCCACGGGCGAAGAAAACAGUCUAAGGAAUUUUGCAAAUGGCAAAGAUUAAAGGUCAAGUUAAGUGGUUCAACGAGUCUAAAGGUUUUGGCUUCAUUACUCCGGCUGAUGGCAGCAAAGAUGUGUUCGUACACUUCUCCGCUAUCCAGGGUAACGGCUUCAAAACUCUGGCUGAAGGCCAGAACGUUGAGUUCGAAAUUCAGGACGGCCAGAAAGGUCCAGCUGCAGUUAACGUAACUGCUAUCUGAUUUAGACCACUGAAUCUU